rnacentral:lncRNA from 1 species
AUGGAUUCUCCCCUCUGGAACCGACCUCGCUGUCUGUGAUAGCAAUAGAAGCAGCCUCCAUGUGACUCAGUGAAGGAGAGGCGGAAUGAGAAGAAAGUAGACACUGCUCUAAGGAGGUGAAGAGGGAGCAAGCGUGUGCUUCAGAAAUCUACAGAGGAAAUGACAGGGAGCCUGUGCAGGAUGAAGGAGAAAUGGACGAUGCUCUGGUCAUUGUGGGCGAGGUGGACUAGCGGAGUGGCUCUGGCAAGCCUGUCCUUCUUCCCCUUGCUAAGAAACACACCUUUCCCUUGGGGCAUCUGCAGGUCGGGUGGAGGCUGAGCAGCUCCCGGCCUGAAUGGGAGUGAGGACAGAAGUGUACUGGAGGGGCUGCAAGAGAGAAGGCCUUCCUUGGGAGUUUUAGGCUCUGCUUUUUGAGACGAAGGUCUUCCCCAUGUGAUCCUUGAUGUAGAGACGGUCCUUGCUUGUUCAUACUGGUUUACUUGAUGGUGGGUACGAAUGCGGACACUUUAUUCAGGGUAAAUCAGGGAUUAAAUGCCUUUCCUGUGAAGGAAUACCCAGGGAAGCUCACUGGCCGAAGGCUCUGUGCUAUCCAGAUACCAAGUGAGUGAGACUGGGGCUAUGGUUUAUUUGGCUUUGAUAAUUACUGGAGGUUAAUUCCUAAAUCUGCUUUCUUAGUGCUGGCCUGGCUGCUUCCCCAGGCGUGGACCCUCUUCUCCUGUCCAUCUCCUCUCAGAGUGACUUCCCCCUCUUUCAUGUCCUCUCUCCUCCCUUUGCAACCCCCCAACUAGCUAACUCAAAACCUGCCUACCUCUCUUCCCUCCAGUAAUUAGCUGUACCAUUUUUAU